UACAUGGGGUGCAAACGUUGCUCGGAAUUAUUGGGCGUAAAGCGCACGUAGGUGGUCUGUUAUGUCAGAUGUGAAAGCCCUCGGCUUAACUGAGGAAGUGCACCUGAAACUGGCAGGCUUGAGUACGAAAGAGGGUCGCGGAAUUCCCGGUGUAGAGGUGAAAUUCGUAGAUAUCAGGAGGAACACCGAUGGCGAAGGCAGGUCUCUGGGCCACUACUGACGCUGAGAAGCGAAAGCAUGGGGAGCGAACAGG
rnacentral:rRNA from 1 species